rfam:Schistosoma mansoni strain Puerto Rico chromosome 6, complete genome
GUCCAGCUGACCAGUCCGAAAUAGGACGAAACGUACAUGCUGGAU